rnacentral:rRNA from 1 species
CUGCGCGGCUACCAUGCAGUCGAACGGGUAGCACACGAGAGCUUGCUCUCGGGUGACGAGUGGCGGACGGGUGAGUAAUGUCUGGGAAACUGCCUGAUGGAGGGGGAUAACUACUGGAAACGGUAGCUAAUACCGCAUAACGUCGCAAGACCAAAGUGGGGGACCUUCGGGCCUCAUGCCAUCAGAUGUGCCCAGAUGGGAUUAGCUUGUAGGUGAGGUAACGGCUCACCUAGGCGACGAUCCCUAGCUGGUCUGAGAGGAUGACCAGCCACACUGGAACUGAGACACGGUCCAGACUCCUACGGGAGGCAGCAGUGGGGAAUAUUGCACAAUGGGCGCAAGCCUGAUGCAGCCAUGCCGCGUGUAUGAAGAAGGCCUUCGGGUUGUAAAGUACUUUCAGCGAGGAGGAAGGCGACAAGGUUAAUAACCUUGUCGAUUGACGUUACUCGCAGAAGAAGCACCGGCUAACUCCGUGCCAGCAGCCGCGGUAAUACGGAGGGUGCAAGCGUUAAUCGGAAUUACUGGGCGUAAAGCGCACGCAGGCGGUCUGUCAAGUCGGAUGUGAAAUCCCCGGGCUCAACCUGGGAACUGCAUCCGAAACUGGCAGGCUAGAGUCUUGUAGAGGGGGGUAGAAUUCCAGGUGUAGCGGUGAAAUGCGUAAGAUCUGGAGGAAUACCGGUGGCGAAGCGGCCCCCUGGACAAACACUGACUCUCAAGUGCGAAA